rnacentral:rRNA from 1 species
UACGUAGGUCCCGAGCGUUGUCCGGAUUUAUUGGGCGUAAAGCGAGCGCAGGUGGUUUAUUAAGUCUGGUGUAAAAGGCAGUGGCUCAACCAUUGUAUGCAUUGGAAACUGGUAGACUUGAGUGCAGGAGAGGAGUGUGGAAUUCCACGUGUAGCGGUGAAAUGCGUAGAUAUAUGGAGGAACACCGGUGGCGAAAGCGGCUCUCUGGCCUGUAACUGACACUGAGGCUCGAAAGCGUGGGGAGCAAACAGG